UACGGAGGAUGCAGGCGUUAUCCGGAUUCAUUGGGUUUAAAGGGUGUGUAGGCGGAAUAAUAAGUCAGUGGUGAAAUACUACAGCUUAACUGUAGAACUGCCAUUGAUACUGUUGUUCUUGAGUAUAGUUGAGGUGGGCGGAAUGUGUCAUGUAGCGGUGAAAUGCUUAGAUAUGACACAGAACACCGAUUGCGUAGGCAGCUCACUAAACUAUAACUGACGCUGAGGCACGAAAGCGUGGGGAUCAAACAGG
rnacentral:rRNA from 1 species